rnacentral:rRNA from 1 species
UACGAAGGGGGCUAGCGUUGCUCGGAAUCACUGGGCGUAAAGGGUGCGUAGGCGGGUCUUUAAGUCAGGGGUGAAAUCCUGGAGCUCAACUCCAGAACUGCCUUUGAUACUGCCUGGCUUGAGGCCGGGAGGGGGUAGCGGAAUUCCCAGUGUAGCGGUGAAAUGCGUAGAUAUUGGGAGGAACACCAGUGGCGAAGGCGGCUACCUGGACCGGUUCUGACGCUGAUGCGCGAAAGCGUGGGUAGCAAACAGG